UGUACAAUAUUUAAUCCUGAUGAGUUUAUUUACACCUCACAAUCAUUUCAUACACCAAAUAUAUCUCACCUAUUGCCUUUAGUGUCUUAUAAAAUGACAAAAUUACGAAAAACUUAUUAUAGAACAAUAAACCAUGAAAAUGAGGUCGAGAUCAGAUGGAUUAGUACACCUUACAAUAAUAUAAAACCACAAAAACUACACAUUGUCCAAUGAACCAGGAACAUGGGGUAUAGUAAGUUUAAACCUGCCAGCCGGACAUGUACACC
rnacentral:lncRNA from 1 species